UAGUAAGUUUCCUGAUUUACCAUCAUAGCUUCUUUCUUAAUUCUCUGGAAUGAAUCCUGCUCUUGAGGACUCAUCACUUGUGUCUCUCUUUUUCUUGGAAGAUGAAAUGGCUAGCAAGUUAAAUGACUGGGUGAAUGAGAGCUGCCCAGUUUUUUGCCGAACAUUCCGAGAAAAAAGGUCAUGCGAGCAGAAUUACAUGACACUCUGUUACAUGUGACAAAAUAUAUAAUUUUCUUGCUCAAAAUCAAUAAUGAAAUAAAUGGAUAACAAAAACCAGCAAAAUAAUCCUUGAAAAAGAUGCAAAAAAUGUUAAAUGGCAAUUGCACCUUACAGAGAGUAGUGGCGACUUGCCCCUUGCACCUUGUUGCAGGGCCACACUGUGUGCCUUGUGGUAAAAGGGGUUAAUGGUGGCACUGCACACCUCAAGAAAAGGUGGUAUGAAGCUCUGCUCAGGUCUCUUCAAAGCAAUCCUGUCUCUGCAUCAUGCAUGCAGUGCUGCGGCAAGGUGCAAAAACACAAGCCACAGCAGAACUAGCUGUGAGGUGCCCUGUGCUCCAUCUGGCUAAGGAAGACCUGUGGCUACCUCUUCUGAGGGUGCAGUGAAGUGUCAGGAUGAGCAGAACAAGAGCAAGACCAAGGUGAAGGUGCCGUGACUGCAGGAUGUGUUGCUGCAAAUGUUGACGGAGACCAAGGCUGGAAGUUAUGCUCAGAUGCAGUGCUUGGCCAUUCUGGGGGAUCCUCUUCUGAAGGAAUCUACAAAUAUUUCCCGAGAUCUUCCGCCGUUUUACUGAGCCGCCUGUUAUGGGGAGCCUUGUCAAGCAUUUUUCUAGAAAUCCUGAUAAACGACAUCAGCUAAUCUGGCGCGUGUCGUCCCCCCGUGUUGUGAACAUCAUCGGAAAA